rnacentral:rRNA from 1 species
AACGAACGCUGGCGGCAUGCCUAACACAUGCAAGUCGAACGAGACCUUCGGGUCUAGUGGCGCACGGGUGCGUAACGCGUGGGAACCUGCCCUUAGGUUCGGAAUAACUCCCCGAAAGGGGUGCUAAUACCGGAUAAUGUCUUCGGACCAAAGAUUUAUCGCCUUUGGAUGGGCCCGCGUUGGAUUAGCUAGUUGGUAGGGUAAAAGCCUACCAAGGCGACGAUCCAUAGCUGGUCUGAGAGGAUGAUCAGCGACACUGGGACUGAGACACGGCCCAGACUCCUACGGGAGGCAGCAGUGGGGAAUAUUGGAAAAUGGGCGAAAGCCUGAUCCAGCAAUGCCGCGUGAGUGAUGAAGGCCUUAGGGUUGUAAAGCGCUUUUACCCGGGAUGAUAAUGACAGUACCGGGAGAAUAAGCUCCGGCUAACUCCGUG